AGAGUUUGAUCAUGGCUCAGAGCGAACGCUGGCGGCAGGCCUAACACAUGCAAGUCGAACGAACUCUUCGGAGUUAGUGGCGGACGGGUGAGUAACACGUGGGAACGUGCCUUUAGGUUCGGAAUAACUCAGGGAAACUUGUGCUAAUACCGAAUGUGCCCUUCGGGGGAAAGAUUUAUCGCCUUUAGAGCGGCCCGCGUCUGAUUAGCUAGUUGGUGAGGUAAAGGCUCACCAAGGCGACGAUCAGUAGCUGGUCUGAGAGGAUGAUCAGCCACAUUGGGACUGAGACACGGCCCAAACUCCUACGGGAGGCAGCAGUGGGGAAUCUUGCGCAAUGGGCGAAAGCCUGACGCAGCCAUGCCGCGUGAAUGAUGAAGGUCUUAGGAUUGUAAAAUUCUUUCAGUAGGGACGAUAAUGACGGUACCUACAGAAGAAGCCCCGGCUAACUUCGUGCCAGCAGCCGCGGUAAUACGAAGGGGGCUAGCGUUGCUCGGAAUUACUGGGCGUAAAGGGAGCGUAGGCGGACAUUUAAGUCAGGGGUGAAAUCCCGGGGCUCAACCUCGGAAUUGCCUUUGAUACUGGGUGUCUUGAGUAUGAGAGAGGUAUGUGGAACUCCGAGUGUAGAGGUGAAAUUCGUAGAUAUUCGGAAGAACACCAGUGGCGAAGGCGACAUACUGGCUCAUUACUGACGC
rnacentral:rRNA from 1 species